AGCGCUCUGGCCACCUGUACCUGGCAUGUUAUAAAUUACAGGAAGGGGGUGCCACUGUGUGUAUGUGAGUGUAGAAGUCCAUUUUGUAGCUUUUAGGUUUCAUUUGUACUCAAUCUGACGUGAAAUAGAGUUUCUAGGCCAAUUGGGAAUUAGUAGGUGUGACUGAAUACCAGGUAUCUGACCCAAACACUCCUCUCCACAAAGAUCCUGAGCUGAUGAUCGCCAUGCCUGACACUGUUUUUAGCCUAAGCCGGAUAGAAACCCAACUGAGGGAAAACUGGCUCCUUGACGAAGGGAACACAACCAGUACAAGACUCUUUGAAGGGUGCCUCAGAGGUAGCCGCUGAACUGCUGCCUGGAUCAUAGACUGUUUAGCCGUGGAGGACCCUGGAAAGUGCCUCUGAUCUGAUGGGAAUGCCCUUUUGGAACCAUGGACACCCACUUCUGAGCAGCAGAGAGGACCAGUGACAUCAAGGGGUAACGUCUUGACACAGUCAUGAGUUGGAUUUAAGUGAGGCAGAGUUGCACAAUGUCUUCAGCCUUACUUUCCCUUUUGGAGUCAUCCAAGUGGUAAGACAAAAAGUCAGGAUGACCGGUGAUGGCCUGGGAUGCAGUGGGUGACCUUGGCAUCUUCCAUGUCUGACCAAGCUCGAAAGCUCUACAGCACCCUCUUCAGCUGCCUUCGUGGCUGUUGAAACAGAUUGUUCUCAUCUACCCAUUCUUCCACAGGGGAAAUCUUGAGACCUGUUGGUUGUCCUCAAUCUGGCUGCUGAAAUGGUUUUCCAGGGCUGUGGCCGUUAGGCAUGCUACAGCUUCUUGGAGCCACAGGUGAGAGUGGGAGACAGGUGGGCACCACAGGGGGAUAAGCAGCCUGAAGAGGGCAAGUCAGAGGUAUUCGUCCUCCUUGAACACCCCAUAUACCUUGACUAUUAAUUACUGACGAUGUGAAAAGGGGCAGGACUCUCUGCCUUACUCAGGAGGCAUGGCUGAACUGGUAUGGGGUUGUGGGAGGAUGGGAGCUUUGGGUAAUGUUACAAAUGACCUUUCCUGUCUUCACCUUCCUACCCUCUGACCUCCUGACACUCCUGGAGCUAAUGACCAUGUAGCCUGAUUUAGUGUCUCUAAGACUUUCAUGCCCUUGCUUCCAACCCCCUUCUCCCCAGCUUCAUAGCCCACCCCCACCCCAGUUCAGCAGAUUAACAGAUUUGACCCUCCUUUCAUCUGCAGUGCAGCUGAACCGGAUCUGGGGUGGGGUGGGGGAAAGGCAGGGGAGGGAAAGGAAGGAGAGUGACUAGUUUCCAGGAGACCUCCUGGGCUUAGAGCAGUCUUUAACCUUUCUUAUGUCCUGGUCCUUUAUGUCCUUUCCUUGGCGAGGACAAAGGACACUUUUUCUGGCUACACUUUUUAAGUGUACAAAAUAAACUACAUAGGAUUACAAAGGAAACCAACCGUAUUGAAAUAGUUAUCGAAAUUGCCAAACAGACACAAAGAUUCCAAGACCCCAGGUAAGAACCUCAGAGGAAGGCCGAUGAAUUUGAGAAGCUGCUGAAAAGGACUUGGGGGAGUAGAAAUAAAGAGAAGAUUGAUAGUAGCUUUCAAGUAUCACUGUCAGUCCUGAGAUGACUGGUGUCUCAGGCGGCCUUGUAGGAAAUCCUAGGGUCAGGGAGGUAGGGUUCUGGGACAAUCCCAGUGAAAAACAACAAGGCGAAAAAAAGGCCCAGGAGAUGUUUGGUUACUGAGGUGAUGACAAGGGCCAGCUCACAUAUGCCUUUGGGAAAAGACAUCCAAGAAGAUGGAAGCAGGCAGCUGCCCAGGGGAGUCUCCACCCCUUAAUAGGGUUCCCUUGAUCAUCUGGUCGCCACACACCAUGACAUUGCCAUCACACGGGGGGCAGGUGGAUCCCACGGAUGGACACGUAUGUGAUCCAUGUCGGGAUCAAGUUUCAGGUUGGACAUGCUAAAAGUCGGGAGGGGGGAAGCCUGGGCAAGGGUACGGGAGGGUCAGAGCCUCUGGUUCCAGGGUUAAGGCUCUGAGAAAGGGAGAGGGCUCUUUUCUGGGGAUUUCCAUGUACUCUGAAGGUGAGAAGGGCUGUAACAAGGGGUUCUCAUGAACCUAGGUGACCUGGGAGGCUCUUGGUUACGAUGGUCCAUUCCAAGAAGCAAAAGCAUCCCAAGCUUCCGGUUACCCUACCUGACAGCUGAUAUUUAAGAGGGAGCUGGGAAGAGACUCACAGGUGUUACACAGAUGCUUUAUUACUUCCCAUCUCUCCAGUGCUGUCCCUGCUUUCCCAGUUCUCAAACAAAUAUGAUACUCUUAGAUACCUUGGAGGCAGUGUUAUCUAAUGGGAAGAGUCCUGGUUUGGAAGUUAGGGGAACUGGAUGCUAUUUUGUUUUCCUUGGUCAAGCCAUUCAGAAGCCAUUCUCAAGGUCUCCGUUUCCUUAUUUGUACUUUCUUGAUUAAUGAUUGUGUGAUCACAAAGUCAUAAGUCCUCCAUAUUGAACUCCAGCUAUGCUUCAAAUUUCAUUGUCUCUUUUCUUGAUCUUUCCAAUGCUGUAACACAUAUGUUUUCCCCCCUCCACUGAGUCCCAUUUUCUUUCCUUUUUUUAAAAAACCCUUAUCUUCUGCCUCAGAAACAAACUAGGUAUCAAGACAGAAGAGCUCUAGUGGGAGUUAAGUGACUUGCCCAGGGUCACACAGCUAGGAAGUGUCUGAGGCCAGAUUGGAUCCCAGGACCUCCCUUCUCUAGGCCUGGCUCUUUAUCCACUGAACAACCCAGCUUCCCCUGAAUCCUAUUUCACAUUUCAUAUUAUGGGAAUAGUAAUAAAAUUAGGACAUGUCAGUUAACUCUCCUGGCUCUAUUCACCGUCUCAAUGACUUUGUAAACCAAAAUCUUUCUUUCUAGGAACCACUUCCCCAUAUGCUACUCUUUUAAAAGGUAAGCUUUUUGAGGGCAGAGACCAUCUGGCUUUUGUAUUGUAUCUGCAGUACUUGACACAUAGACAAUGUUUUAAUACAAUAUAUUUUAUCCAUCCAUCCAUCCAUCCAUCCAUCCAUCCAUCCAUCCAUCCAUCCAUCCAUCUUUGAUCUAGAGCUGAUAAUGACCCUUACCUUGAGGGCUGUAAGGAGAGAAUGAGAUAUGUGCAAAGAGCUUUGGGAAAGUAAAGAAGCACAAUACAAAUGUGAGGCAUUAUUAUUUUUAUUGUACCUGAAACUGCAGAGUUUUCAAAUUCUGGGUAGUAUUCAAAUGUGAGUGCUCAAUGGAAGGAGGCUGUUGGGGAUGGAACGGGAGGGGGAACUAGGAAAUGAUGGGAGACUCUGAAUUAUUUUAAUCACCUUGACACCUGGAUUCCAAUUUAGGAAAAGAAUUCACUCAGCCAUGUCAAAUUACCAGUCUAGGGAUUAGACGAAAUUAGACAGGGACCCAAAGAAAUCAGGCAGUAGGCCAGGCGACUUUUGGGGGAAAAUGUAAAGCUACCCAGAAAUACCUUGACCAUACUUCUUACAGUGGCUGCUGCCCUUUUGUCUCAGGGAGCAGGAGGAAGGGCUGGCGAACAUUUUUUAAAAGAGGGUUGAGGGUGGGAAGGACUGAAAGAUAUAUUUUUAAAGCCUUUCUGCCAGUAUGAGUUAAUUUAUGCUAAAUCAUCUGACACGGCUAAUGUGUUAAGCUGACCAUCCAUUAAUAUUUUAAACCUAUUAUGGAAAAUAAGCUUGGGGAAGACAGACAGCUCUGCUUCUUCCCCUGUCAGUGGCAAGGCAGCUUGACUAUCUUUCUUGGUCCAGGGGGUGGGGAGCAGUCAAAUUGAAGGAUGUGCUAUGAGGACACCCCAAGUCUGGUCUGAAAUUCUGAUUGGACUGCCUACCCUGAGAUUCUUUGCACUUACAAUAUCCACAGAAUCUAAGUUGGAAGGGACCUUAGGGGCCAUCUAGUCCAACUUAUACCUUGAUAAGAAUCUCGUUUAUAUUCCUGACAAGUGGCCAUCCAGAUUUUGCUAGAAGACCUUCCACAACAGGAAACUCACUGUAUUCCAAUGUAGCCUAUUUCACUUUUAGACAGUUCUAAUCACUGGAAGUUGCUCCUUAUAUAAAUCCUAAAUCUGUUUUUUUUCCCUUUUAAUUUUCAUACAUUGUUGCUAUUGUGCCCUCUGGGACCAAAUAGGACAAGCCUAAUUUGGUUUCUAACUUUUCAGGUACUGGAAGGCAGCUAACAUGCCUCAACUGUCUUCUCCUCUGAAUGCUAAAGAGCCCCAGUUCCCUCAACCAGUCUUUAUAGACCGGGGAUGGUGAAUUUUUUAGAUACUGAGUGCCCAAACUGCACCCUCACCCCUUAUGUGAGCUGCACCCUUGCCCCAGAGAGAGGAGGGAGGCAGCACUCCCAUUGGGCUGCUGGGCAUAGGGGCAGGUGAUGAGAGAAAUAUCCUCAGGUGAUGAAUAGGGGGAGUGGAGCAGCCUCCUCCGGCAUGUGUGCCAUAGGUUUGCCAACAGGGUUAUAGACCAUCAUCUUUAGGAGGGUAUCAUUAUGACUGGCCUUAUUGAAUCCUCUACAACUUAUCCACAUCAUUCUUCCAAUUCAAUGCCUAAAACUGACUCUGGUACUACAAAUGUAGUGUCAUAGCAGGCCAGAGUACAGUGGGGCUCUCAUCCUUCCUUUUCAUUCAUUUAUUCAUCAAUUCAAGCAGUACUUAUUAAGCUCCUCCAAUGUCCCAGGUGGUAUGCAAGGCAUAGGAAAUACAAUCACCCAACAGUCACUGCCUUCAAGUAACUUAUAUCCUAUUGGGGAGGGGACACAAAGAAUAUACAAAUAGUAAAUUAAAUAUAAAGUGAAUACAAAAUAAUUUGAUUUGAACUUUGAAGGAAAUUAAGAGGUAGGAAGAAAGAAGGACUUCAUUCCAGGCAUGGAAUUGUGAAAAAAAACAUAGAGAAGGGGAGCAGAAUGUUAAGUUUUGACUGAGGCACUCUACCUGUGUUAAUCUAGCCUAUUGUGAAGGGUGUUCCAAAAGUUUUAGUACAGUCUUGAAGUAUGAAUUUAAAUUUUACACUUAAAGACUGCACUAAAACUAAUUAAGACUAAGACUUUAGGAUAGCCUGUAUAAUAGGCGGGAUUAACAGAGGUUAAAGUUUAAAGUAGCUACUAAAUCUCAAAAUUGUACCUAAAACUUCUGAGGAUACCCUGAAUGAGCUUUUUGUUAGUGGAAGGAAGGCUGGACUGUUACACUUAUUUUGAGUUUGCAGACCCCUAAAACCUCUGGUUCUUAUGUGGCUAAAUUGAUAUCUAAUCAUAUCUUUCCUGUUCAGUACUAAGGAUGUUGACUUUUUGUACCUGAAUGGAAGACUUUCCAUUUAUCCCUAUAAAAUUUCAGUGUUCACAGUUGACAGUGACAACUGCGUCCUUUUUGGGUCCUCUAAUCUGACACCUUAGCUUUUCCUCUUAAUUUUGCAUCAUCUCUCAAUUUGGUAAGCAUGCUAUCCAUCCCUUUAUCUAACUAUUAUAAAAAGUAUUAAGCAGCACAGGGCCAAGCAUGGAUCCCUGGCAUAUUCCAUUAGAGUGGAGAGUUCUUAACCUUUCUGGAGUAUAUGGGGGUGUUCAAGGAGGACUGGAACCUCUAGCGUGAGGGUUUAUUGAGCCCUUUUCAGGGCUGCUCAUCCAUUCUUUGGUAUCCACCUGACUCAAUUCUCACCAAAUUGUGGCUCCAAGAAGCUAUAACAUCUAGAGCAGAGAUGAUAAACCUUUUAGAUACUGAGUACCCAAACUGUACCCUCAUGGCACAUGUGAGUCACCCCCUAGCCCCAGACAGGGGAGGGAGGAAGUGCUCCCAUUGGGCUGCUGGGCAACAAGGUGAGUGAAGUGAAAAAUGUGCUCAGGUCUGUGGAGAGGGGCAGAGGAGUAACUCCCUCUGGCAUGCAUGCCAUAAGUUUGUCAACACAAAUCUAGAGUGUCCACAUCCUGGUGAAACUGUCUGGGUAGACAGGCUAAACCAGGUUGCAUGUAAUCACCUAUCGGUGAGUUAGGAAGAUAUCUAUCCCAAGUAUGUGAAGACUCUCUGGUAGAAUAGGUGGAUGUUCUAAUGGCCAUGAAGGCAUAUUGAAACUAUGCUUGACCUGGUCAGAUAUGGAAGAUGCCAAGAUCUUCCACUACAUCCCAGGCCAUCACCAGUUGGCCCGAUUUUUACCUUGCCAUUGGACUUUGAUGACUCCGGGAGAAGGUAAGGCUGAUGGCUUCACUUAAAUCCAAUUCUCACACAAGUCAAGACAUCAUUCCUUGGUGUCAUUGGUGCUCUUCAAAAAUGAAGGAUGACCAACAAGUGUGUGCCAUGAAUCCCUUUGGCAUUCUGGUGAAGUCUAUGGACUCCUCAGCAUCAUGUUUUUUUUUAAACCCUCACCUUCUGUCUUAGAAUCAGUACUAAGUAUUGGUUCCAAGGCAGAAGAGUAGUAAGAGAUAGGCAAGGGGGAAAUAAGGGUCUUGCCUAUGGUCACAGCUGGGAAGUGUGCUGCCCUACUGCUGCCCUAGCAUCAUGCUUUAAAAUGCAUAAUUAAAACACAAAGGAUUACCACAUAAACCAAUUAUAUUAAAAAACUGCUAGAAAAUAUUUUCCCCAAAGUUUACAGACUCUAGGUUUCUAAAUUGACCUUCACCCCCUAGAAACAAGACAUUGUGGUAGGUACUGGAUGGGAUGAGGGCAUAUAAUCCCAAAGCUAACUGGUUUAUAUAUAACAGACUUUGCUCCUUUUGUUGAAAAUUGGUACAUUUGGAUAACUUGGGAAGACAAGAUGAUGUAAAAACAAAAAAUAACAGGGCAGCGAGGUAGUACAGUGGUUAGAGCACCAGGCCUGGAGGGAGCCAGGAGGAUAUGGAUCAAAGGUGGCUUCAGAUACUUCCUAGCUGUGUAUC